CAGUCCUUUCCCGGGCACUAGCUUCUGGUAUCGAAAGAGCUGCCCAGUGAAGGGCUUUC
rnacentral:pre_miRNA from 1 species